GUCUAUAGUCAUAUGGCCCUGAAUGUGACAGAUCUUAUCUCAUCUUGGAAGCCAAGCAGUGGGGCCUGGUUAGUACUUAGAUGGGAGAAGCAAACUAAGACAGUAAACU
rnacentral:rRNA from 1 species